GAAGAACCGUGUUCAUCUGAGGCAUCAGAGAAAAGAGACCGGUAGCCUACCUUCCAAGACGCCCCGGACUCUGAAGAAGUUCUGCCCCAAUUCGUCAACUCCAACCGGUACAAAAACGCGAAGAAGCAUUACAGAGGUUGUCACCCAUUUUCCAUCCACUUGACCUCCACCUGGAACACCUAAACAAUUUUCUCAAAUCAUUUAUGGGAGAUUGGGACCAAACAUGUCAGAAAUGUCAGCAGCCAGAAUCAGUAAGUCCAUUGGCAUCGUCAAAGAGCUAAUGGACAAAACGGACACAGAGCUGGAGCUGACAAGGCCGACUGGCAUUCAUCAUGUGGCCCGAGAACAGGAGGACGUUUUAACACGUUUUCAGGGAGACACAACUUUCCCAAAAAAAAUCACCCAGGCAGGCAGUAUCAUGCAUUCCCGAAUUUCAAGAGAAACUUAUUGGCAAAGCUGAAUUACCAGGAGAUGUGGAUGAAGUCCAAAAUAAUGGACUGGCAAAAUGUGCCUAUUUAAAUAAUGAAGUAAAUGUGAACUGUAAAUGGUGAUGGUAAUUUGUAAAUAUUGUUUUCAUAAAUGACAAUGUAAAUAAUUGUGUUUUCAUAUAAUAGUUUAGUAGUAUCCACAUUCUUGAAACCAUUUUUGUGUUUUCUUAUUGGUUGUAUGUUCAAAGUUUAGCGUAUAUCUUCAAACAUUACCUAUUAUGUGUAGAUAUUAAAAAUCUUUAUUGACA